UACGUAGGGGGCAAGCGUUGUCCGGAUUUAUUGGGCGUAAAGAGCUCGUAGGCGGCUCAGUAAGUCAGGUGUGAAAACUCCAGGCUCAACCUGGAGACGCCACCUGAUACUGCUGUGGCUAGAGUCCGGUAGGGGUGCAUGGAAUUCCUGGUGUAGCGGUGGAAUGCGUAGAGAUCGGGAAGAACAUCGGUGGCGAAGGCGGUCUGCUGGGCCGUUGCUGACGCUGAGGCGCGACAGCGUGGGGAGCAAACAGG
rnacentral:rRNA from 1 species